UACGGAGGGUGCGAGCGUUGUCCGGAAUCAUUGGGCGUAAAGGGCGCGUAGGUGGCCCGGUCAGUUCGUGGUGAAAGCGCGGGGCUCAACCCUGCGUCGGCCAUGAAUACUGCCGCGGCUGGAGCACUGUAGAGGCAGGCGGAAUUCCGGGUGUAGCGGUGGAAUGCGUAGAGGUACGCGAAGAACACCGGUGGCGAAGGCGGUCCGCUGGGGUGUUGCUGACGCUGAGGCGCGACAGCGUGGGGAGCAAACAGG
rnacentral:rRNA from 1 species